AGAAGAAGAAGAAGAAGAAGAAGAAGAAAAAAAAAAUCCUAACAUAUUUUCAGAUGGAUUUUAUGAGUGGUUCAACUCCCAGCCCUGCUGUCUGCACCCGGGCACGCUGUGUAACUCCUCAGUUUUCUCGCCAAGGCUGGGGACCGCACACUCCUGCGUGGAGAGUGUGCAGUGCCCCGUCUGGGCUCAGCAGGCACUCAGCACUGGGGAGACCCUACUGCUGCCGCCUCUUUAAAAGGACCGUCUCAGGUUACUACACGCAGAUUGUGGCAAGAGCUCUUCUUCUGGCCUCCAGUCCUCCCCGGCAGACGACGCCGUAGAAGAAUGGGCUUCAGUACAGCCCGAGGGCAGGCCUAAAGCAGACUCACCAUAACCUCCUACUCGAACCUGCUGCCUACCACUGCCUCCCAAUAUCCAUUUCAUGGGAAAACACAGGUGGUGCCAGCGUCCUGGCCAAGCAAGGAAAAAUAUGAUGCUGAAACCACAGCCCUCAUUGGUCUACCAGCUUAACGAGCGACCUGACCCAUGGGGGACCCACAGACUCUUUCAGGGGAUCCCCUAGGUCAAAAGUACUUUUUGACAUUUCAGUGAUGGUAAUGGCUAAAGGUAGAUCAGCCAUCAGGGAAAUGCAAACCAACAUGACCAUGAAAUACCACUUCACAUCCCCUAGGACGGCUUUGUUCACAAAGAUGGAUAAAGGCAAGUGUGGGUGAGAAUGCAGAGUGGAACCUUCAAACACUGCAGGUGGAAAUGUAAAAUGGUGCAGCCACUCUAGAAAACCACCUGGAAGUUCCUCAAAAUGUGAAACAGAGUCACCCUAUGACCCAGCAACUCCACUCUCAGGUAUGAGCACAAGAGAAAUGAAAAAUAUGUCCACAUAAAAACAUGUAUAUGAAUGUUCAGAGGAGAAAUAUUAACAAUAGUUAAUAACUGGGGAAAAAAUCCAAAGGUUCAUCCACUGGCAUUUAGCUAAACAAAAUGGGGUGUUUCUAUCCAUAAAAGGAAUCAGGAACAGAUACAUGCUCCAGCAUGGACGAAUCUUGCAGACAUUAUGGGACGUGAAAGAAGCUAAGGACAAAAGGUCACCUAUUAUAGGACUCCAUUCCUAUGAAAUGACUAGACCAAUACUUAAGAGACAGAAAGUAUGUUAGUGAUUGCCAAGGGGCUGGGGAGGGUUCAGGAAAAUGGGAGGGACUCCUAAUGGGUACAAAUUUUUCAGGGUGAAGGCGAUGAAGAUGUUCUAAAGUUGACUGUGAUGAUCAUUACACAACUCCGUGAACAGACUAGAAACUACUGAAUUGUACACUGGGGGUAAAUUUUAUGAUAUGUGAAUUACAUCUCCAUAAAACUAAAAACAAAACAAAAACAAAAGAAAACGGCAACAGGUAGCAAAAUUCAACACAAAUCAAUGCAGUGGCACCAAACUAAAUGAACAAACAUUGGUAUUCUUCAUUACCAGUUACUAGCAGUUAAAAAAAAAAAGACAGUUUCACUUUGGAAAGUGACAGAGCAAUAGAAAUUGUUAACAGUAUUAAAUCUCAACCCUGGAAUACACAUACUUUGUGUGACAAAAAUGGAACCACAGGACUUCCCUGGUGGCGCAGUGGUUAAGAAUCUGCCUGCCGAUGCAGGGGACACGGGUCCGAGCCCUGGUCUUGGAAGAUCCCACAUGCCGCAGAGCCCCUAAGCCAGUGUGCCACAACUACUGAGCCCACGCGCCACAACUACUGGAGUCCGCGUGCCUAGAGCCUGUGCUCCACAGCAAGAGAAGCCACCGCAAUGAGAAGCCCGCGCACCGCAACCAAGAGCAGCCCCUGCUUCCCGCAACUAGAGAGAGCCCGUGGGCAGCAACGAAGACCCAACGCAGCCAAAAAAAUAAAUAUAUAAAAUAAAUAAAUUUAUUUAAAAAAAAAAAAAAAAAAAA